rnacentral:rRNA from 1 species
AUAAUACUCCAUAGAUUAGAGACACUGGAAUGUUCUUUAGUCGAAAGUUCUGGCGCCUUAGGAUGGAUCUGCGGUCGAUUAGGUUGUUGUUGGGGUAACGGCCCAACAAGCCUGUAAUCGAUACGGGUUGUGGGAGCAAGAGCCCGGAGAUGGAAUCUGAGACACGAUUCCAGGCCCUACGGGGCGCAGCAGGCGCGAAAACUUUACAAUGCAGGAAACUGUGAUAAGGGAACUCCGAGUGCCCGUAUACGCGGGCUGUCCAGGUGUUUAAAAAUCAUCUGAAGAAAGGGCCGGGCAAGACCGGUGCCAGCCGCCGCGGUAAUACCGGCGGCUCGAGUGGUGGCCACUAUUAUUGGGCUUAAAGCGUCCGUAGCUGGACCGAUAAGCCUCUUGGGAAAUCCGCCGGCUCAACCGGCGGGCGUCUAAGGGAUACUGUUAGUCUAGGGACCGGGAGAGGUGAGAGGUACUCCGGGGGUAGGAGUGAAAUCCUGUAAUCCCCGGGGGACCACCGAUGGCGAAGGCAUCUCACCAGAACGGCUCCGAUAGUGAGGGACGAAAGCUGGGGGAGCGAACCGGAUUAGAUACCCGGGUAGUCCCAGCCGUAAACUAUGCGCGUUAGGUGU